rnacentral:rRNA from 1 species
UACGUAGGGUGCGAGCGUUAAUCGGAAUUACUGGGCGUAAAGCGUGCACAGGCGGUUCGCUAAGACCGAUGUGAAAUCCCCGGGCUUAACCUGGGAACUGCAUUGGUGACUGGCGGGCUAGAGUGUGGCAGAGGGGGGUAGAAUUCCACGUGUAGCAGUGAAAUGCGUAGAGAUGUGGAGGAAUACCGAUGGCGAAGGCAGCCCCCUGGGCUAACACUGACGCUCAUGCACGAAAGCGUGGGGAGCAAACAGG